rnacentral:misc_RNA from 1 species
GUAGGUGAACCUGCGGAAGGAUCAUUACCGAAUUGUCAACAAGAGUUGUUGCUGGUCCUCAAACGGGGGCAUGUGCACGCUCUGUUAACACAUCCACUCACACCCUGUGCACCCUCUGUAGUUCUGUGGUUGGGGGGACCUGUCCUCCUGCUGUGGUUCUGCAUCUUUACACACACACUGUAACAAAGUCUCAUGGAAUGCAUCUGCGUUUAACGCAAUACAAUACAACUUUCAGCAACGGAUCUCUUGG